GCUGAUGCUAGGUGCACCAGCAUUAUUGCUGGUGCAUCCAGCACUUAAAGAGAAAAGACUAAAAUAUCUCUGAUUCAUAAGUCUUUUACGGAUCAAAUGCUUAAUAUCAACAUACGAAUCAACUUAAUUUAUAUUAAUCUUACGGAUCAACUCGAUCCAUACAAUUUACGGAUCACUCUCACGCACACCUAGCACAAAUGUGAAGAAAGUGUACUAGCAAUAAUGUUGGAUGCACCUAGCAUCAG
rnacentral:pre_miRNA from 1 species